CCCACCAGGAGGGUCUCCCACCACUCUCUGUGAAGGCUGAAGCCCAGGGUGACCUGCACUGUUCAUCAUGGAUAUUGUGGUGUGUGUAUCAUAGGAACAGGAGGGUCUAUCAGCCCAAGGUCCUGUUUUAUCCCCGCACUGAGACUGUGAAGAGAAGGGUCUGGACUGCAGACUGGAUCCCUGACUGGAGCCUCCGUCUCUCUGAUGACCACCAUGACUGAGGUUGUUCAGUCCACCUGUCCACUGGUUGUGUUCUGUGUGGUGGUUGAGUCUCUGUCCCUCACGGUUGGGUCCUUUUUCCAACUCGGGAAGGAAGUGCGACGGCUCCUGAUCCAUGUUCCUGAUCUGUUGCCAGGGUUUGUGACCAUCCACUUCAGAGGUCCAGUCUCUCCCGCCAGUAACACCGGAUAUCAGCAGGUCUUCAAGGACUGCAGUCUGCAAACAAAGAUGGUACAGAAAAGCAUAAAGGUUUAUAUAAGAAACUCUUUACUGUACACAGAAACAUGACAUUAUAAAAUGUUAACCACAGUCAAGCCCAUCUCUAACACCGAUUGAAGUACCUAACAAUAUGGAGCCAUUGGAAUCUUUGCAAUGAUACAAAAAUAACCAAGUCAGACAGCACCGAGUCAAUCUAGUAUUUAACUUAAACAAAAUGCCAUUACAAUCACAUUUAUUGCACCAAACGAUACGUGACGAGAAUAACUUCUCACUAUGGUAACACUAUACCUUUUCUGUAAAUCUGGUACCCUUGCUUUGACAAAAUCAAUUUUAGAAUACUUUGGAAAAGGUUCAAUAUAACAUUACACGCAGCUUCACUACUUCAUGUCAAGUAAACAUGAGGUAAGGCACUAUUGCUCAUAUUGAGGUAUAUACAGUACCAGUCAAAAGUUUGGACACCUACUAAUUCCAGGGUUUUUCUUUAAUUUUACUAUUUUCUACAAUGUCGAACAAUAGUGAAGACAUCAAGGAGUAUUUUUCCUGUCUUAUCCGGUGUCCUGUGGGAAUUGAAGUAUGCUCCCUCUAAUUCUCUCUCUUUCUCCUCUCGGAUGACCUGAGCCCUAAGACCAUACCCCAGGACUACCUGGCCUGAUGACUCCUUGCUGUCCUCAGUUCACCUGGUCAUGCUGCUCCAGUUUCAACUGUUCUGCCUGCGGCUAUGAAACCCUGACCUGUUCACCGGACGUGCUACCUUGUCCCAACAUUUACUCCUGAGAUUAUGCUGCUGCCCCGCUGUAAGAACCUGGAGAUCUUCACUGAGGGAGGGGACCUGGCCACAAACAGUGCCUGGGACUCAUUCCAGUGCUACCGCUGUCUGGAGAACAGCCAGGGGGUGGUCAAGACAUCCGGCACAACUUCAUCUUCAGUGUGUCAGCUCUGCUGCACCUGGGAGCUAAAGAUGGCUCUGGGUUGCUGAUGAAAUCUGAUCUGAUGAAACUCCCUAUACGAUUUGACCCCUGUAUUACAGACUGUAAAACUUUCAAUGCCAAAUUGAAAUCAUUCAAUAUUCUGUAAUUGAUAGACAAUGAUGGUUCCCAAUCAGCCAAUUACUCUACAUCAAAUCUGUUUCUCAGUGCAAUGUUUGGUGAAUGCAUGGCAUUGUUUUUUACCGCAGUUCUCCUUUGAAUGCUGUGUAUACUGACUCAGUUCUAAAGGACCAUCACCGAGUCCAUCCUCACCUCCUCGAUCACUGCAAUGAUUGGCCGGUCUGCUGAGAGGGUUAUUGGCUGCCGCCUGCCCUCCAUUGAGGUCUUGCAUGACUCCAGGGCAAGGAACCGUGCAAAAAAGAUCAUUGCCGACCCCUUCCACCAACUCUCAUCUCUACCAAACGGUUCAGGUCAAUCACAACCCCCCCCCCCCCCCCCCCAAACAUGUUUCUUCCACCGCGCCAUGGCCCUCACCAACCGGCCACCUGGUUCACGAUGAUUCUCUCGUCUAUGGACUUUGCACCAUCAUCCCAGAACUGCACAUUGCUCUUUGCAUAUCGCUUACAUGCAUAAUUUAUCAUGUAACUUAUAAUUUAGUCUAAAGUUUUGUGGAUCUGUGGAAAUUCUGAGUCUAUAUAUUUUGUUUAUUGAGGCAACACCCAGAGUCAAAUUCCUGUACAUGCAAAUAUAUUUUGGGAAUAAAGCUGAUUCUGACAUGUUUA